AAUGAACGUUGGCGGCGUGGAUUAGGCAUGCAAGUCGAGCGAGAACCCGCAAGGGGGACAGCGGCAAACGGGGUAGGAAUGAUUGGUGACGUACCCUCGGGACGGGGAUAGCCACGGGAAACUGUGGGUAAUACCCGAUAAUCUCCCAGGUUUGAAGACCUGGGUGCAAAGGUGUGAUUCCACCGGAGGAGCGGCCAAUCUGGUAUUAGCUAGUUGGUAGGGUAACGGCCUACCAAGGCUACGAUGCCUAGGGGGUGUGAGAGCAUGGCCCCCACCACUGGGACUGAGAUACUGCCCAGACACCUACGGGAGGCUG
rnacentral:rRNA from 1 species